CUGUGCUAGGUGGGGCAGUAGCGGCGCCUUGUAACCCUCAAUCCGCUAUAGGGGGACUGAAUUCCUGCACGAGAAUACUGAUUCUGAGUAUUGUUAUAAGAAGUGGUGUUGAUGAUUAAGCCCAGCGCAAUUGUGAACUGUGAACCUUGUCAGAUCCGGAAGGGAGCAGCAAUAAGCAGAACUUACGAUGUGCCGUUGGUCUACUUGAUCUGAGCUAACUGGUAUUUCUUUGCAAAGAUAGGUAUCGAAUGUAGGUGCACAC
rnacentral:SRP_RNA from 1 species